GACGAACCACCCAAACGUUAUUCGGAAUUACUGGGCUUAAAGAGUGCGUAGGCGGCCUUGAAAGUUAGGUGUGAAAUCCCACAGCUCAACUGUGGAACUGCGCUUAAAACUACAUGGCUAGAGGGAUAUAGAGGUGAGCGGAACUGAUGGUGGAGCGGUGAAAUGCGUUGAUAUCAUCAGGAACACCGGAGGCGAAGGCGGCUCACUGGGUAUCUUCUGACGCUGAGGUACGAAAGCUAGGGGAGCGAAC
rnacentral:rRNA from 1 species